UGAAAAAGUCUGAGCUUGAAGUUGUC
rnacentral:piRNA from 1 species